UGCCCACUGCAGCUGCCCUAUUGAACCAAUUGGAAUUCAGAUAAAUUAUCUGACGUAAUGUUAGCAGAUAGGGACUGGCUGGUUGGAGUAACGUGUCGGGGCUGGCACGAAGCUUACGGAAGGCAGGCAAAAAAGCUGCAGUAGUAUGCGUUUUGUCGUGAUGGAAGUGUGGUGCUGUGUCCGGUGAUGCAUCCCGUGAGGAACUGCCGCGACGAAGGCAGAGGAGUGCGCGAAGGAAUGCUGCUGGCAGAAACCACGACUCCAGUUGUUGAGGAGUUAGCGAGCAGCAGCAGCAGCAGCAGCAGCAGCCACACUGUCCAAUGAAUCUGAGUUGAUGACUUGCACAUAAAAGUGUUUUGAGUUGAGUGCGAACAUUGGCCUCAAGAAGCACCACUUGGCGUGAUGCUUGCUGCUGUUUGGGCGGCGCGUUUGGCGGAAAUGAGACAUACCUGGUUUUAUGUUCUUGGCCUGUGACGCUGCAGCCACUGGUGGUGACUGGUGCCGGGCGAUGAGCUGGAUGGCCACGUGGGGACUGUCGCAAUUAAGUCGUCGGGGCCAUCCAAUCCUUAAGGCGGGGCGAGACUCCUGCCGCCCUCCAGUCACUACUUCAUUCUAUCUCCCUCACCACUCCCUGCUGCCACCACCAUAACCACCACUAUCUUCACGUCUUGAAGAACGCCAUUAGACGCUUCUCCCCCCGGUACCAUCACUCGUGCCUCCGCCAUCACUCCUCGCCACUCCAAAGCUCCGCUUGUCUUUGUCUCCCUGUCCUCUACCAUGCCGGACGCCUCAACAACGUAAUGGACUGCGAGACCUUUGCUAUUUGUAUGCAAUGACGAGGACUAGUCAGCUCAGUGUGCUUGUGUGCAUUUGAUUUGGCUGCAUGUUUGUGUGUAGAUUCUUGGAACACAGUGCAAAUCCUUUGGGCAAUUGGAAUUAUUAGUAUUUAUGAGAUUAAAGAAAAAUCAAUGCGGAAUAUACGAGUAACAAAUCAUUAAUGUUUUUUUUCUUUCUUUCUUUUUUUUUUUUUUUUUUUUUUUUAGGGAUUAAUAUUGUUUUGUUUUUUUCGUGUAAUUCUUGCGUGUGUUGUUAUAGAUAUGAUUCAUGUCGAGGAAUAAAAAUACAUGUAUGUGCUUUAUACGGAGGCAGCAAUUUCCAUGCAAAAAGAAGGUAGGAUAUCGAGGCAUUAUUUAUUCCGGAUGUAUUAAAGGUGUGUGGGAGCGUUCGUCACGCCGCCCGCCGCCGCUUGCAGCCCGGCCAGACACCUGUGUGGGCGGCCGGCUACACUGUGCUGGGGGCGCUGCUUUUAUUAUUAUCAUUAUUAUUACUGCUCUUAUCAUAUUGCUGUUAUAUUUUUCGUGCUAAAUAUUUAUGAUAUCUCGAGAAAUUUCUUUGUUUAAGCUAGAAGGGUAUUUUUUUUUCUUAGAUCAUCAUUUUUGUUACUAAUAAAGUGUAUUGUUGUUAUAUUUUGUGCUCGCCGACUGCCAAAAAUACCCAUGAUUUUUUUUUUUUCGUUAGCUGGAAGAGAUGCGUAUUACAGGCUUUUGCUUAUUUCUUUCGUUGUUGUUGUUGUUGUUGUUGUCAUCUUCACCACCAUCAUCACCACCACCACCACCACCACCGUCAUGACCUACUUUUGGGCUGAAAAAUAGACCUGGAGGCGAGAUAUAUGGGCCAUGAGGUGCGCCAUCCCGGGUAGUGAGCUCCUAACGCGGAUAUUCAAGGUAAACAUCGCGGCCUGGACACGUUACCAAUCAGGCCAAGGUGAUCACCAAGGCCUGAGUGGAUUCUGAUACGCCUUCACUGUCCUACCCUUCUUGUUUCUGCUGCUUCAGUUAGUUCUCAUUCCUCUACAUGUAAAUCACUCUUCAUAUCUAUUCCUUUAAGAACCAUCCUCUUAUUCUCCUCAAGAAAUUUCUUUAUUAUUAACUAGAAAAAAGGCUCAUUCAUUAUUAUUAUUAUUUUUUUUGGUUAAGAUCAUCGUUGCUUCUCUUCUUUAUUCCCCUCCUUCCACAAACACAACUACGAAAGGGGAGGAUUCAUAGUCUGUUUGUGUUGUGUUUGUCCCGCUUCACUUCACAGCAUCCUGUGUCUCUCAGUAGUAUUUAAGGUCCAUGUUAGUGAAGAAAUGGUCUCCAAUAUUAUUAAGAGCAGCAUAUAAGACUGUCAAGUUGGAUAUUAUACACCACCUGCUUCCCAACCUAUUCAUCCUACCCACCUACCUAUACACACACAUACACACACACACACACACACACAGGAAUCAUAGCAAGACGAGCGCUUGUAGCCGAAAUAAUUAGCUUAUUUGGCAGAGAAAUGAAGAGUUAAAAGACUGCCUUCCUGGUCUUGUACGUUCGUAAACUUUCCACCGCCUUUUAUUUUCUAACUUUCUUCCUUUUGUCUCUGGCUUUCAUUGUGUCUUUUGCUUUCGAAUCCUUUGCAUUUAGCCUCCAUUCUGCUUUUUUUUUUUUUUUUCUGUAAUUGUUUCAUUAUACAGUACUUGGUGUUGUUAGAUAUUGCAGUGCUAAAUAUCUCAGUCAGUCAGUAAAUCAGUUAAUCAUUCAGUCUAUGUCAGUCACUCAGUCAGUCAGGUACUCAGUCAGCCACACGGUUAAUUAAUCAAUCAGUCAAUCAGGCACUCAAGUCAAGCCAACCAGUCAGUCAACCAACCAGUCAAUCACCCCCAUCUUUAUUUUCAUACACACACACACACACACACACACACACACACACACACACACACACACACACACACACGAGCACCCUCCCGUUUGUCUCGAGUCACGUUUCGCUCCUUGACAGUCGUGGUUGCAAAGAUAAACAGAGUGGUCGUCCUAUCGUCCACAGUCACUCACUCGCCUUUCCGUUCAGCGAGUUCCCAACACGUUUAGGUUUUGCAAGUAAGAAAAAGCGAUACAUCUCUUCUUGUCCUGACUGUGUUGCGCUGGUGGUGCAGGGAGGGAAGGGAAGGAGGUAAAGCAAAUGUAUCGCCGAGAGAGAGAGAGAGAGAGAGAGAGAGAGAGAGAGAGAGAGAGAGAGAGAGAGAGAGAGAGAGAGAGAGAGAGAGAGAGGCCCAAUCAGUAUAAGAGGAGGUAGUGGACAAACACGGCGAGGAAGAUACACAAGAAAACAAGAAGAGAGAAAGAGGAGGACGAGGAGGAGAAGGAAGAGGAGGAGAGGAGCAGGUGGUGGAAGAGGUGUCGGUGGAAUUUGAAGGGAGCGAAGAAUCAAUAAAAGAAAAAAAAGAAGUUAGAUAAUGAGGAUAAAGAAAGAAGCGAGAUAAGUAGCAAAGACGUGAAUAAAGUAGAAAACGAAGAAGAGGGGAGAGGAAAGAAAGAAUAAAGGAGGAAUAAAAUAAAGGAAUAAUAGGAGAAAAAAGGAAGAAGGGAAGAAAGAGAAAGAAGGAAGGACAUAAGCAAAGUGAAUAAAGGAGGAAAUCAGAAAGGAAGAAAGAGAUAAAGUAGAAAGUGAAAAGGAAGAA